AGUGAAUUUAUUUUAUUUUGAUACAAUAAAAAAGAACUUAGUUCAUUCACUA
rnacentral:tRNA from 1 species